rnacentral:lncRNA from 1 species
GUACGAUCAGGAUAGAAAGAUAUGUUGUGCUAACACUAACAUAUACUCCAAAACAUCAGUUGCAUGCAAACUUCUGUUCUAGAAUAAACAUGAAUUUGUCACAUGUUAGUUACAAUAAUAAUACCAAACGAGUGAACCAAUUCUACAUUAUGGGUCCCAUUUGUUUAUAGAGCUAAUAGUUACCUGGUCAUCAAGUGAUCAAGAAAACAAACAAGCGUAUGUUCAGAUAUAUGAAUUAGAAGAUAAUUUAGACCAAGAUGUACAAAAGAGGCAGCAGUGUUCUCUGUAAGUUUGCAAGUGUAUGAAAGAGGUACAAGGUACAGUCAACGGGGACCUUCCAAGAAAUCUGUAUAUACGUGCUUUUCUGAGUAGAAAUCCUGUAACAUUUUACCUGAUUGUAUACCUACCAGCAGCAUACAAGUAGCCCCCAAUUCAGGCCACUGCACUAACCAACCAGCAAAGUAAGCAUCACACACACUAAGCAUGCCAAGUGAUGAUCUACACCAGCAUAGCAACAGACAAACAUUUAAGGUUGCUAUAAACCUUAGACAUUACCAGU